ensembl:lncRNA LINC01990 long intergenic non-protein coding RNA 1990
ACAUUUGUCUUGGCGCUCUGGGGAAGAAGAAAACAAACUCAAAGAAGCAAUUUUUCUGGAAACACACAAUUGCAGAAAGAGAUUCAGAGAGGCUGUUCCUGGUUUCUUGGCUAAGGUCCUUUCUACUAUCCAGACUACAUUGGCUCAGUCCAGGAGGAGUCAAAGAAGAUAAGGACACUGCAGCCCAGAGAAGAAACCUGCAAAGGCCGUGUUCACACACUCACAAGAGAUAUGGCUGUGAUUUGGAUCCAGAUGUGAUGGGCUGACAACAAAACUCCUGUGAUACCAUGAAGUCUUCGGGAGGCAGAAUUGAAGUGAACAUGAAGUUUAGCUUAGAGAAGAAAAGAAUAAAUACAUACAAAACAUUUGAUGGUGAAUAAACAGAAAAUGGUGUAUUCAACAGAAUUUGACUCAGCAAUAAAAAUGAACCAAACUAUGGAAAACAACACCCAACAACAGGAAGAAAUCUCAAAAUAAUUAUGGUGAGUGAAAGAGGCCAGACCAAAAAAAAAAAAAAAAAAA